rnacentral:rRNA from 1 species
UACGUAGGGGGCUAGCGUUGUCCGGAAUCAUUGGGCGUAAAGAGCGCGUAGGCGGCUAGAUAAGUCCGGUGUGAAAGUCACAGGCUCAACCUGUGAAUGCCGCUGGAAACUGUCUGGCUAGAGUCCGGAAGGGGCGAGUGGAAUUCCUGGUGUAGCGGUGAAAUGCGCAGAUAUCAGGAGGAACACCAAUGGCGAAGGCAGCUCGCUGGGACGGUACUGACACUGAGGUGCGAAAGCGUGGGGAGCAAACAGG